rnacentral:rRNA from 1 species
GAUGAACGCUGGCGGCGUGCCUAAUACAUGCAAGUCGAACGCUUUGUAAAGGAGCUUGCUUCUUUACGAGGAGUGGCGAACGGGUGAGUAAUACAUAAGUAAUCUGCCCAUCGGCCUGGGAUAACAGUUGGAAACGACUGCUAAUACCGGAUAGGUUAGUUUUUGGCAUCAGGGACUAAUUAAAGUUGGGAUACAACACGGAUGGAUGAGCUUAUGGCGUAUUAGCUAGUAGGUGAGGUAACGGCCCACCUAGGCGACGAUGCGUAGCCGACCUGAGAGGGUGACCGGCCACACUGGGACUGAGACACGGCCCAG